AGAGUUUGAUCCUGGCUCAGGAUGAACGCUGGCGGCGUGCUUAACACAUGCAAGUCGAACGAUUAACCCACCUUCGGGUGGUUAUAGAGUGGCGAACGGGUGAGUAACACGUGACCAACCUACCCCUUACAUUGGGAUAACUCAGAGAAAUCUGUGCUAAUACCAAAUACUCCGGAUAAAUCGCAUGGUUUUUCCGGGAAAGCUUUUGCGGUAAGGGAUGGGGUCGCGGCCUAUUAGGUAGUUGGUGGGGUAACGGCCUACCAAGCCUGCGAUAGGUAGCCGGGUUGAGAGACUGAUCGGCCACAUUGGGACUGAGAUACGGCCCAGACUCCUACGGGAGGCAGCAGUGGGGAAUUUUGCGCAAUGGGGGAAACCCUGACGCAGCAACGCCGCGUGCGGGACGACGGCCUUCGGGUUGUAAACCGCUUUCAGCAGGGAAGAAAUUCGACGGUACCUGCAGAAGAAGCUCCGGCUAACUACGUGCCAGCAGCCGCGGUAAUACGUAGGGAGCAAGCGUUAUCCGGAUUUAUUGGGCGUAAAGCGCGCGUAGGCGGCUUGUUAAGCAAGAUCUCAAAUCUGGGGGCUCAACCUCCAGCCGGAUUUUGAACUGGCAGGCUCGAGUUUGGUAGAGGAAAGUGGAAUUCCCAGUGUAGCGGUGAAAUGCGCAGAUAUUGGGAAGAACACCGAUGGCGAAGGCAGCUUUCUGGGCCAUAACUGACGCUGAGGUGCGAAAGCUAGGGGAGCAAACAGGAUUAGAUACCCUGGUAGUCCUAGCCGUAAACGAUGGGCACUAGGUGUGGGGAGACAUUCUUUCCGUGCCGCAGCUAACGCAUUAAGUGCCCCGCCUGGGGAGUACGGCCGCAAGGCUAAAACUCAAAGGAAUUGACGGGGGCCC
rnacentral:rRNA from 1 species